rnacentral:lncRNA from 1 species
GGUCGUCACAUUGAUUGAACCUUGAUUCGAGUCAUAUUCAAACCUUUAGAUAUGAUAAAUUAGUUUUACUUUAGAUAACAACAAAAGAUAUAGUUAAGUAGCUUGCAAUUAUAAUAAGACGAUUUUAAUCCAAUGACUUCUCACUGUUGCCACCAUAAUCUGAGCGCUGAGCUUGAAGAGGUCAGAUGAGCUCCGAGCUG